UGGCUCAUUAUAUCAGUUAUAGUUUAUUAGAAAAAAUGUACUACUUGGAUAACCGUAGUAAUUCUAGGGCUAAUACAUGAAUGAAUCCUCGACUUUGAAGAGGUGUGUUUAUUAGUAUGAAAACCAUAUGCUUCGGCAUGAUAGUGAGUAAUAAUAACCUUUCGUAUCGUAUGUUGACAUAACGAUAGUUCUUUCAAGUUUCUGCCCUAUCAGCUUUCGAUGGUAGUGUAUUGGACUACCAUGGCAGUAACGGGUAACGAAGAAUUUGGGUUCGAUUUCGGAGAGGGAGCCUGAUAGAUGGCUACCACAUCCAAGGAAGGCAGCAGGCGCGUAAAUUACCCAAUCCUGACAGAGGGAGGUAGUGACAAUAAAUCACAAUGCGGGACUAUUUAGUUUUGCAAUUGGAUUGAGAACAAUGUACAAGAGUUAUCGAUAAACAAUUGGAGGGCAAGUCUGGUGCCAGCAGCCGCGGUAAUUCCAGCUCCAAUAGCGUAUAUUAACGUUGUUGCAGUUAAAAAGCUC
rnacentral:rRNA from 1 species